rnacentral:rRNA from 1 species
AAUAAGCGGAGGAAAAGAAACCAACAGGGAUUGCCUUAGUAGCGGCGAGUGAAGCGGCAAAAGCUCAAAUUUGAAAUCUGGCUCUUUCAGAGUCCGAGUUGUAAUUUGAAGAAGGUAUCUUUGGGUCUGGCUCUUGUCUAUGUUUCUUGGAACAGAACGUCACAGAGGGUGAGAAUCCCGUGCGAUGAGAUGAUCCAGGCCUAUGUAAAGUUCCUUCGAAGAGUCGAGUUGUUUGGGAAUGCAGCUCUAAGUGGGUGGUAAAUUCCAUCUAAAGCUAAAUAUUGGCGAGAGACCGAUAGCGAACAAGUACAGUGAUGGAAAGAUGAAAAGAACUUUGAAAAGAGAGUGAAAAAGUACGUGAAAUUGUUGAAAGGGAAGGGCUUGAGAUCAGACUUGGUAUUUUGUAUGUUACUUCUUCGGGGGUGGCCUCUACAGUUUAUCGGGCCAGCAUCAGUUUGGGCGGUAGGAGAAUUGCGUUGGAAUGUGGCACGGCUUCGGUUGUGUGUUAUAGCCUUCGUCGAUACUGCCAGCCUAGACUGAGGACUGCGGUUUAUACCUAGGAUGUUGGCAUAAUGAU